rnacentral:rRNA from 1 species
CCUUACGGCCAUACCACCCUGAACCCAUCUGAUCUCGGAAGCUACACAGGGUCGGGCCUGGUUAGUACAUGUAUGGGAGACCACCUGGGAAUACCAAGUGCUGUAAGCU